GUUCGUAUUUCAGGCGGCCUUUUUUCUCUCUCCUCUGAUCCGGUUUGUAUUGAUGUUCACGUUUAACUUUCAGAGGCUCAUCUUGUUUCUCUUAAUUCCAGAUUCCGGGAGGUUGCCCUGUGUGGUUCCAAGAGGCGAAACACAGGGUCCCCAGUGCAGCUGACUGCUCAUUAUCUCCUCUGCCAUUGAGGCAGUCAUGUUACAAGGGCGCCCAGUGCUAGUUUCUGCUCCCAUCUGUGUGCGAUGCCCUUCAUUCCACUGCUUUGAACCAGGGUGAAAGUGGAGGCUUCCUCCAUGAAGGCACAGCUCUUUCUCUGGCUCCUUACAUGACUCCGUCUAUGCUCUGCCCCUUUCUGCUGCCCAGGUGGGAAGACUUGGAGGUGCCCUUGGGUGUAGAAAAGAGGUUUCUGUCUUUAGAAGGCCUUUCCACAUCAAAAUGACAUCUUUGGCAUUUGUAGAGGUGUGAGGUAAGAGAUCUUAUUACUCUGUCCCCCAAGAUGCUCAGCAAGUUAUUCCAAUUUAUUGAUUAGUUCAUCCUUUCCUUACUGAUUUUAAAGGCUGGGACACAAACAGAUAAUAAUGUUAAGAUCCAGACUUAGAUCCUCAGACUGUGUGGUGCUUUUCCCAGUGAGUUCUAAGCAUACUAGCGUCCCUAAGGUUAUCUAAAACCCUUUCCUUUACUGCAAGUUUUCUGACAUGUCAUAUCAGUUGGCUUCUUUUAAUUGGGUUCCCCUAGAAGCAGAUUCUGUGGCAGAGUAGUAGGGCACUGGGGAACUGAAUGAAACAAGGAAGGGAGGGUAGUUAACAAACAUUCUUUUAUGAAGCAAGUUACCAUUAGUUUUGGUCUUAAUCUGGGUAAUAAAAAUUGUAACAGCUAACACAUAAUGCUUAUUAUGUUCUAGGUACUGUUUUAAAAUCCUUUACAAGGGGCGCCUGGGUGGCACAGCGGUUAAGCGUCUGCCUUCGGCUCAGGGCGUGAUCCUGGCAUUAUGGGAUCGAGCCCCACAUCAGGCUCCUCCACUAUGAGCCUGCUUCUUCCUCUCCCACUCCCCCUCGUGUUCCCUCUCUCGCUGGCUGUCUCUAUCUCUGUCAAAUAAAUAAAUAAAAUCUUUAAAAAAAAAUCC
rnacentral:lncRNA from 1 species